AUUGAACGCUGGCGGCAGGCCUAACACAUGCAAGUCGAGCGAGCGGAGGACGGGUUAGUAAUGUAUGGGGACUGCCCGAUAGAGGGGGAUAACUACUGGUAACGCUGGCUAAUACCGCAUACUAUCGGAUAACCCAUAUGGGAUUAGCUAGUAGGUGGGGUAAAGGCUCACCUAGGCGACGAUCUCUAGCUGGUCUGAGAGGAUGAUCAGCAACACUGGAACUGAGACACGGCCCAGACUCCUACGGAGGGAGAAGUGGGGAAUAUUGCACAAUGGGCGCAAGCCUGAUCGAGCCAUGCCGAGUGUAUGAAGAAGGCCUUAGGGUUGUAAAGUACUUUCAGCGGGGAGGCGUUACCCACAGAAGAAGCACCGGCUAACUCCGUGCCAGCAGACGCGGUAAUAC
rnacentral:rRNA from 1 species